UACGAAGGGGGCUAGCGUUGCUCGGGAUCACUGGGCGUAAAGGGUGCGUAGGCGGGUCUUUUAGUCAGGGGUGAAAUCCUGGAGCUCAACUCCAGAACUGCCUUUGAUACUGAGGAUCUUGAGUUCGGGAGAGGUGAGUGGAACUGCGAGUGUAGAGGUGAAAUUCGUAGAUAUUCGCAAGAACACCAGUGGCGAAGGCGGCUCACUGGCCCGAUACUGACGCUGAGGCACGAAAGCGUGGGGAGCAAACAGG
rnacentral:rRNA from 1 species